GAUAACACCGCAUAAGCGCACAGGAUCGCAUGAUCUAGUGUGAAAAUAUUUAUAGGUAUGAGAUGGACCCGCGUCUGAUUAGCUAGUUGGUGAGGUAACGGCCCACCAAGGCGACGAUCAGUAGCCGGCCUGAGAGGGCGGACGGCCACAUUGGGACUGAGACACGGCCCAAACUCCUACGGGAGGCAGCAGUGGGGGAUAUUGCACAAUGGGCGAAAGCCUGAUGCAGCGACGCCGCGUGAGUGAAGAAGUAUUUCGGUAUGUAAAGCUCUAUCAGCAGGGAAGAAAGACCUCGUAAGAGGGGAUGACGGUACCUGAGUAAGAAGCCCCGGCUAACUACGUGCCAGCAGCCGCGGUAAUACGUAGGGGGCAAGCGUUAUCCGGAUUUACUGGGUGUAAAGGGAGCGUAGACGGUGUAUCAAGUCUGAAGUGAAACCCCACGGCUCAACCGUGGGCUUGCUUUGGAAACUGGUAGACUAGAGUACUGGAGAGGUAAGCGGAAUUCCUGGUGUAGUAGUGAAAUGCGUAGAUAUCAGGAAGAACAUCAGUGGCGAAGGCGGCUUACUGGACAGCAACUGACGUUGAGGCUCGAAGGCGUGGGGAGCAAACAGGAUUAGAUACCCUGGUAGUCCACGCAGUAAACGAUGAAUACUAGGUGUUGGGAGACAUAGUCUUUCAGUGCCGGCGCUAACGCAAUAAG
rnacentral:rRNA from 1 species